GAUGAACGCUGGCGGCGUGCCUAAUACAUGCAAGUCGAGCGAACAGACGAGGAUCUUGCUCCUCUGACGUUAGCGGCGGACGGGUGAGUAACACGUGGAUAACCUCCCUAUAAGACUGGGAUAACUUCGGGAAACCGGAGCUAAUACCGGAUAAUAUAUUGAACCGCAUGGUUCAAUAGUGAAAGACGGUUUUGCUGUCACUACUAGAUGGUUCCGCGCCGCAUUAGCUAGUUGGUAAGGUAACGGCUUACCACGGCAACCAUGCGUAGCCGAACUGAGAGGGUGAUCGGCCACACUGGAACUGAGACACGGUCCAGACUCCUACGGGAGGCAGCAGUAGGGAAUCUUCCGCAAUGGGCGAAAGCCUGACGGAGCAACGCCGCGUGAGUGAUGAAGGUCUUCGGAUCGUAAAACUCUGUUAUUAGGGAAGAACAAAUGUGUAAGUAACUAUGCACGUCUUGACGGUACCUAAUCAGAAAGCCACGGCUAACUACGUG
rnacentral:rRNA from 1 species